CCUACGGGAGGCAGCAGUAGGGAAUCUUCCACAAUGGGCGAAAGCCUGAUGGAGUAACGCCGCGUGGGUGAAGAAGGUCUUCGGAUCGUAAAACCCUGUUGUUAGAGAAGAAAGUGCGUGAGAGUAACUGUUCACGUGUCGACGGUAUCUAACCAGAAAGCCACGGCUAACUACGUGCCAGCAGCCGCGGUAAUACGUAGGUGGCAAGCGUUAUCCGGAUUUAUUGGGCGUAAAGGGAACGCAGGCGGUCUUUUAAGUCUGAUGUGAAAGCCUUCGGCUUAACCGGAGUAGUGCAUUGGAAACUGGGAGACUUGAGUGCAGAAGAGGAGAGUAGAACUCCAUGUGUAGCGGUGAAAUGCGUAGAUAUAUGGAAGAACACCAGUGGCGAAAGCGGCUCUCUGGUCUGUAACUGACGCUGAGGUUCGAAAGCGUGGGUAGCAAACAGGAUUAGAUACCCUGGUAGUC
rnacentral:rRNA from 1 species